rnacentral:ncRNA from 1 species
AAUCAGUAUCGUUUAUUGAUAGUACCUUACUACUUGGAUACCCGUGGUAAUUCUAGAGCUUAAUACAUGCUAAAACCUUCGACUUCGGAAGGGGUGUAUUUAUUAGAUAAAAAACCCAAUGCCCUUCGGGGCUCCUUGGUGAUUCAUAGUAACUUAUCGAAAUCGCAUGGCCUUGCGCCGGCGAUGGUUCAUUCAAAAUUUCUGCCCUAUCAACUUUCGAUGGUAGGAUAGUGGCCUACCAUGGUGGCAACGGGUAACGGGGAAUUAGGGUUCGAUUCCG